rnacentral:rRNA from 1 species
GACGAACGCUGGCGGCGUGCUUAACACAUGCAAGUCGAACGGAAAGGCCCUGCUUUUGUGGGGUGCUCGAGUGGCGAACGGGUGAGUAACACGUGAGUAACCUGCCCUUGACUUUGGGAUAACUUCAGGAAACUGGGGCUAAUACCGGAUAGGAGCUCCUGCUGCAUGGUGGGGGUUGGAAAGUUUCGGCGGUUGGGGAUGGACUCGCGGCUUAUCAGCUUGUUGGUGGGGUAGUGGCUUACCAAGGCUUUGACGGGUAGCCGGCCUGAGAGGGUGACCGGCCACAUUGGGACUGAGAUACGGCCCAGACUCCUACGGGAGGCAGCAGUGGGGAAUAUUGCACAAUGGGCGGAAGCCUGAUGCAGCAACGCCGCGUGCGGGAUGACGGCCUACGGGUUGUAAACCGCUUUCGCCUGUGACGAAGCGUGAGUGUCGGUAAUGGGUAAAGAAGCACCGGCUAACUACGUG